AGGGCACCACCAGGAGUGGAGCCUGCGGCUUAAUUUGACUCAACACGGGGAAACUCACCCGGCCCGGACACCGGAAGGAUUGACAGAUUGAUAGCUCUUUCUUGAUUCGGUGGAUGGUGGUGCAUGGCCGUUCUUAGUUGGUGGAGCGAUCUGUCUGGUUAAUUCCGAUAACGAACGAGACUCUAGCCUAUUAAAUAGACGUCGGGUUCUCUGCACUCGACGGUCUUCUUAGAGGGACAAGGUGCUUUUAGCACCGCGAAACAGAGCAAUAACAGGUCUGUGAUGCCCUUAGAUGUCCGGGGCCGCACGCGCGCUACACUGAAGGAAGCAGCGUGUAACAACCUUGUUCUAACGAACUGGGUAACCCGUGGAACUUCCUUCAUGAUUGGGAUAGGGGUUUGCAAUUUUGCCCCUUGAACGAGGAAUUCCCAGUAAACACUAGUCAUCAGCUAGUGCUGAUUACGUCCCUGCCCUUUGUACACACCGCCCGUCGCUACUACCGAUUGAAUAGUUUAGUGA
rnacentral:rRNA from 1 species